GAUGAACGCUAGCGGCAGGCCUAAUACAUGCAAGUCGGACGGGAUUUGGGAGCUUGCUCCUAAUGAGAGUGGCGCACGGGUGCGUAACACGUAUGUAACCUACCUUAAUCAGGGGGAUAGCCUCUCGAAAGAGAGAUUAACACCGCAUAACAUAUUUUUAUGGCAUCGUAGAAAUAUCAAAUAUUUAUAGGAUUAAGAUGGGCAUGCGGAACAUUAGCUAGUUGGUAAGGUAACGGCUUACCAAGGCUACGAUGUUUAGGGGAUCUGAGAGGGUGACCACCCACACUGGUACUGAGACAAGGACCAGACUCCUACGGGAGGCAGCAGUAAGGAAUAUUGGUCAAUGGGCGCAAGCCUGAACCAGCCAUGCCGCGUGCAGGAAGACGGCCCUAUGGGUUGUAAACUGCUUUUGUACCGGAAUAAACCCUUUUACGUGUAGAAGGCUGAAUGUACGGUAAGAAUAAGGAUCGGCUAACUCCGUGCCAGCAGCCGCCGUAA
rnacentral:rRNA from 1 species